rnacentral:rRNA from 1 species
UAGCGAGGGGGGCGAGCGUUGUUCGGAAUUAUUGGGCGUAAAGGGUGCGUAGGCGGUUUGGUAAGUCUUAUGUGAAAUCUAUGGGCUCAACUCAUAGACUGCAUGAGAAACUGCCGGGCUUGAGUAUGGGAGAGGUGAGUGGAAUUCCUGGUGUAGCGGUGAAAUGCGUAGAUAUCGGGAGGAACACCUGUGGCGAAAGCGGCUCACUGGACCACAACUGACGCUGAGGCGCGAAAGCUAGGGGAGCAAACAGG